rnacentral:lncRNA from 1 species
CGAUCGCCACGCCGCCACCGACAAACCUCGGAGUGACGCGAGAGCACCCAAACCACCUCGCAGUUUCUCCAGUAUGUUUGUUGUGUCUCGCUGAUUUGCCGUUUUCCACUUCUUGGUCUUGGUGAGCGCUACACAUCCGCGAGAAUGUAACCCGCAACGUACAAGAAGGCGACGCGGCGGCUGGACGGCGCGGCGUUUGACCUCGUAUUUGCACAUCUGGCCUACCAAAAGCCCGAUUUGUCCCAUUUGGAGGAACCCGAAAGCGCUGGUAUUUACCCCAAGGGUGAAUCACCUGAAAAGGAAUGAAUUGAGAGGAUUGAGGAAACUCAGGGUUUAACGGGAUCGGCUCCAAGGGUGCGAAAGGCGAACAGGUGCGAGCGGCGGAACCCCGCGGGCCCCUCGACUUGCGGACGGUAGAAGAGAAGAAGUCGGUCACAACCAUGGUUGAUGUUGUCGAAAAGCGUCUCCGAGCGGCUAGAGUUGCAGGUCAAAGAGAUCGUCAUGGGUGAUUAGAAAUGUAGGGAAUUAACAGUAUGUGAAGGUGCAGAACCUUUUAAAGGAAAACGAACUACAAGACCGAUGAUCAAAAAAAUGAAUUCAUCAACAAAUACGUUUUUAUUUAUGUAAUAAACUUUGUCGAUAUGUUAA